UUGGAGCGGCGCAAGGAGUGCGUAACACGUGGGUAAUUUGCCGUGAAGUUGGGG
rnacentral:rRNA from 1 species